rnacentral:rRNA from 1 species
UCGAGGAUCUUCGGCAAUGGGCGCAAGCCUGACCGAGCGACGCCGCGUGCGCGAUGAAGGCCUUCGGGUUGUAAAGCGCUGUCGAGGGGGAGGAAAGCCCCGCAAGGGGUCUGACCUAUCCCUGGAGGAAGCACGGGCUAAGUUCGUGCCAGCAGCCGCGGUAAGACGAACCGUGCGAACGUUGUUCGGAAUCACUGGGCUUAAAGGGCGCGUAGGCGGCUUGCCAAGUCCGGGGUGAAAUCUUUCGGCUUAACCGGAAAAGUGCCUUGGAUACUGGCGAGCUUGAGGGAGGUAGGGGCAUGUGGAACUUCCGGUGGAGCGGUGAAAUGCGUUGAUAUCGGAAGGAACGCCGGUGGCGAAAGCGACGUGCUGGACCUCUUCUGACGCUGAGGCGCGAAAGCUAGGGGAGCAAACGG